AUACGGAGGGUGCAAGCGUUACUCGGAAUCACUGGGCGUAAAGCGCGCGCAGGCGGAUUGGCAAGUUGGAUGUGAAAGCCUGCGGCUCAACCGCAGAACUGCAUCCAAAACUGUCAGUCUAGAGUCUGGGAGAGGUAGCUGGAAUUAGUGGUGUAGGGGUAAAAUCCGUAGAGAUCACUAGGAAUACCGAAAGCGAAGGCGAGCUACUGGAACAGUACUGACGCUGAGGCGCGAAAGCGUGGGGAGCAAACAGGAUUAGAAACCCUAGUAGUCC
rnacentral:rRNA from 1 species